AGCAGCCGCCGCGGGAAUACGAAGGGUGCAAGCGUUACUCGGAAUUACUGGGCGUAAAGCGUGCGUAGGUGGUGGUUUAAGUCCGUUGUGAAAGCCCUGGGCUCAACCUGGGAAUUGCAGUGGAUACUGGGUCACUAGAGUGUGGUAGAGGAUAGUGGAAUUUCCGGUGUAGCAGUGAAAUGCGUAGAGAUCGGAAGGAACAUCUGUGGCGAAGGCGACUAUCUGGGCCAACACUGACACUGAGGCACGAAAGCGUGGGGAGCAAACAGGAUUAGAUACCCCGGUAGUCCUGUCUCUUAUACC
rnacentral:rRNA from 1 species